rnacentral:rRNA from 1 species
GACGUAGGGCGCGAGCGUUGUCCGGAUUUAUUGGGCGUAAAGAGCUCGUAGGCGGUUUGUCGCGUCGUCUGUGAAAACCCACGGCUCAACUGUGGGCUUGCAGUCGAUACGGGCAGGCUAGAGUUCGGUAGGGGAGACUGGAAUUCCUGGUGUAGCGGUGAAAUGCGCAGAUAUCAGGAGGAACACCGGUGGCGAAGGCGGGUCUCUGGGCAAUAACUGACGCUGAGGAGCGAAAGCGUGGGGAGCGAACAGG